AACGAACGCUGGCGGCAUGCCUAACACAUGCCAGUCGAACGAGACCUUCGGGUCUAGUGGCGCACGGGUGCGUAACGCGUGGGAACCUGCCCUUAGGUUCGGAAUAACUCCCCGAAAGGGGUGCUAAUACCGGAUAAUGUCUUCGGACCAAAGAUUUAUCGCCUUUGGAUGGGCCCGCGUUGGAUUAGCUAGUUGGUAGGGUAAAAGCCUACCAAGGCGACGAUCCAUAGCUGGUCUGAGAGGAUGAUCAGCCACACUGGGACUGAGACACGGCCCAGACUCCUACGGGAGGCAGCAGUGGGGAAUAUUGGACAAUGGGCGAAAGCCUGAUCCAGCAAUGCCGCGUGAGUGAUGAAGACCUUAGGGUUGUAAAGCUCUUUUACCCGGGAUGAUAAUGACAGUACCGGGAGAAUAAGCUCCGGCUAACUCCGUG
rnacentral:rRNA from 1 species